rnacentral:rRNA from 1 species
UACGUAGGGUGCAGGCGUUAAUCGGAAUUACUGGGCGUAAAGCGUGCGCAGGCGGUUUUGUAAGUCUGUCGUGAAAUCCCCGGGCUCAACCUGGGAAUUGCGAUGGAGACUGCAAGGCUAGAAUCUGGCAGAGGGGGGUAGAAUUCCACGUGUAGCAGUGAAAUGCGUAGAGAUGUGGAGGAAUACCGAUGGCGAAGGCAGCCCCCUGGGCCAAUACUGACGCUCAUGCACGAAAGCGUGGGGAGCAACAGG